AGUGAACGCUGGCGGUAGGCCUAACACAUGCAAGUCGAACGGCAGCACAGUAAUAGCUUGCUCUUACGGGUGGCGAGUGGCGGACGGGUGAGGAAUACAUCGGAAUCUACUUUUUCGUGGGGGAUAACGUAGGGAAACUUACGCUAAUACCGCAUACGACCUACGGGGGAAAGCAGGGGAUCUUCGGACCUUGCGCGAUUGAAUUAGCCGAUGUCGGAUUAGAUAGUUGGCGGGGUAAAAGCCCACCAAGGCGACGAUCCGUAGCUGGUCUGAGAGGAUGAUCAGCCACACUGGAACUGAGACACGGUCCAGACGCCUAAGGGAGGCAGCAGUGGGGAAUAUUGGACAAUGGGCGCAAGCCUGAUCCAGCCAUACCGCGUGGGUGAAGAAGGCCUUCGGGUUGUAAAGACCUUUUGUUGGGAAAGAAAAGCAGCAGGUUAAUACCCCGCUGUUCUGACGGUACCCAAAGAAUAAGCACCGGCUAACUUCGUG
rnacentral:rRNA from 1 species